UUUAUCAUUUGGACAGUGGCAGACUGGUGAGUAACGCGUGGAUAAUCUGCCCCGAAGAUGAGGAUAGCUCGCCGAAAGGUGAGGUAAUCCUCAAUGGUGUGGGAAGUACAUAUGUACAUCCCACUAAAGCUUUAGCGCUUCGGGAUGAGUCUGCGUCCUAUCAGCUUGUUGGUAGAGUAAAGGUCCACCAAGGCUAAGACGGGUAACUGGUCUGAGAGGAUGGUCAGUCACAGUGGCACUGAAACACGGGCCACACUCCUACGGGAGGCAGCAAUUAGGAAUCUUGCACAAUGGAGGAAACUCUGAUGCAGCGACACCGCGUGAAGGAUGAAGACCCUCGGGUUGUAAACUUCUUUUAUAAUCUAACAAGUUCUGAGUGGAGUAUGAAUAAGCACCUGCUAACUGCGUGCCAGAAGCAUCGGUGAAGCGUGGGGUGCGAGCGUUAUCCGGAUUUAUUGGGCGUAAAGAGAUGCGUAGGCGUUUUGGUAAGUCUUCUGUCAAAGCCUUCGGCCUAACCGAAGAAAGGCAGAGGAUACUAUCAGAAUUGAGACAGAGAGGGGGAAGUGGAAUUCCCGGUGGAGCGGUGAAAUGCGUUGAUAUCGGGAGGAACACCAGUGGCGAAGGCAACUUCCUGGCUCUGUUCUGACGCUGAGGCUCGAAAGCGUGGAGAGCAAAGCGGAUUAGAUACCCGUGUAGUCCAUGCUGUAAACGUUGGAUACUGGACGUUUGGUUCAACUGUAAAAAUCCUUCGGGAUUUUUGUAGAGGAACUGAGUGUCGUAGGUAACCCGUUAAGUAUCCCGCCUGGGAAGUACGGUUGCAAGACCGAAACUCAAAGGAAUUGGCGGGCACCCGCACAAGCGGUGGAGCGCGUGGUUUAAUUCGAUGGUAAUCGAAGAACCUUACCAAGGCUUGACAUGUACCUGCACGCCUCUCGAAAGAGAGGCUUCCUUCGAGGGUGGUACACAGGUGCUGCAUGGCCGUCGUCAGCUCGUGUCGUGAGAUGUAGGGUUAAGUCCCGAAACGAGCGAAACCCUUAUCCUAUGUUAUACGUGUCUUAGGAAACUGCCUCGGUGAAACGGGGAGGAAGGUGGGGAUGACGCCUGGUCCUCAUGGCCCUUAUGUCUUGGGCGACACACGCGCUGCAAUGGUCGGUACAAUGGGCAUGCCAAACCGCAAGGUGGAGCGAAUCUCAUCAAAACCGAUCUCAGUUCAGAUUGAGGUCUGCAAUUCGACCUCAUGAAGUUGGAAUCGCUAGUAAUCGCGGAUCAGCCAUGCCGCGGUGAAUACGUUCUCGGGUGUUGCACACACCGCCCGUCACGUCAUGAAAGCCGGGGGUACCCGAAGGUAUCAUGUCUCUUCGGAGAGUAGGUAUCGAAGGUAAACUUGGUGAUUGGGACGAAGU
rnacentral:rRNA from 1 species